GACAGCCAGGAUGUUGGCUUAGAAGCAGCCAUCAUUUAAAGAAAGCGUAAUAGCUCACUGGUCGAGUCGGCCUGCGCGGAAGAUGUAACGGGGCUAAACCAUGCACCGAAGCUGCGGCAGCGACACUGUGUGUUGUUGGGUAGGGGAGCGUUCUGUAAGCCUGUGAAGGUGUGUCGUGAGGCAUGCUGGAGGUAUCAGAAGUGCGAAUGCUGACAUAAGUAACGAUAAAGCGGGUGAAAAGCCCGCUCGCCGGAAGACCAA
rnacentral:rRNA from 1 species